rnacentral:rRNA from 1 species
AACGAACGCUGGCGGCAUGCCUAACACAUGCAAGUCGAACGAGACCUUCGGGUCUAGUGGCGCCCGGGUGCGUACCGCGUGGGAACCUGCCCUUAGGUUCGGAAUAACUCCCCGAAAGGGGUGCUAAUACCGGAUAAUGUCUUCGGCCCAAAGAUUUAUCGCCUUUGGAUGGGCCCGCGUUGGAUUAGCUAGUUGGUAGGGUAAAAGCCUACCAAGGCGACGAUCCAUAGCUGGUCUGAGAGGAUGAUCAGCCACACUGGGACUGAGACACGGCCCAGAAUCCUACGGGAUGGAGGAGUGGGGAAUAUUGGAAAAUGGGCGAAAGCCUGAUGGAGCAAGGCCGGGUGAGUGAUGAAGGCCGUAGGGAUGUAAAGCUCUUUUACCCGGGAUGAUAAUGACAGUACCGGGAGAAUAAGCACCGGCUAACUCCGUG